rnacentral:rRNA from 1 species
AUUGAACGCUGGCGGCAGGCCUAACACAUGCAAGUCGAGCGGAUGAAGGGAGCUUGCUCCUGGAUUCAGCGGCGGACGGGUGAGUAAUGCCUAGGAAUCUGCCUGGUAGUGGGGGAUAACGUCCGGAAACGGGCGCUAAUACCGCAUACGUCCUGAGGGAGAAAGUGGGGGAUCUUCGGACCUCACGCUAUCAGAUGAGCCUAGGUCGGAUUAGCUAGUUGGUGGGGUAAAGGCCUACCAAGGCGACGAUCCGUAACUGGUCUGAGAGGAUGAUCAGUCACACUAGAACUGAGACACGGUCCAGACUCCUACGGGAGGCAGCGGUGGGGAAUAUUGGACAAUGGGCGAAAGCCUGAUCCAGCCAUGCCGCGUGUGUGAAGAAGGUCUUCGGAUUGUAAAGCACUUUAAGUUGGGAGGAAGGGCAGUAAGUUAAUACCUUGCUGUUUUGACGUUACCAACAGAAUAAGCACCGGCUAACUUCGUG